UGAUCCAAGCAUGGCAAUUACCCCGACUAAGUCGGGGAGGAAAGUCCGAACUCCGAAGAGCAGGGUGCCGGGUAACUCCCGGGGUCCGUGUUGCGAAAGCAGCCGGAAACGGCUAGUACCACAGAGAAGAGACUACCAGUCAACUGACUGGCAAAGGUGAAAAGGCGGGUUAAGAGCCCACCGCUCUGCUAGUAAUGGCAGAGGUCCCUUUAAAGGGAAUCCCGACUUGUCGGGAUCAAGGUAAACCCCACUCGGAGCAAGGUCAAGCAGAAGGUUCCUUCUUUAUUGAAGUACGGGCUGCUCGUCCGUUUACCUUCGGGUAGACCGCUUGACCCCGAUAGUAAUAUCGGGGCUAGAUAAAUAAUUGCCGUCCCGAUUUUAUCGGGAUUACAGAAUUCGGCUUAUAUGCUUGGUCGUUUA
rnacentral:RNase_P_RNA from 2 species